rnacentral:rRNA from 1 species
ACAGUUCGGUCCCUAUCUGCCGUGGGCGCUGGAGAAUUGAGGGGGGCUGCUCCUAGUACGAGAGGACCGGAGUGGACGCAUCACUGGUGUUCGGGUUGUCAUGCCAAUGGCACUGCCCGGUAGCUAAAUGCGGAAGAGAUAAGUGCUGAAAGCAUCUAAGCACGAAACUUGCCCCGAGAUGAGUUCUCCCUGAGCCUUUAAGGCUCCUGAAGGAACGUUGAAGACGACGACGUUGAUAGGUCGGGUGUGUAAGCGCAGCGAUGCGUUGAGCUAACCGAUACUAAUGAACCGUGAGGCUUAACCUU